UGUUAGUACAGGUCUAACAGCUAUGAACAACUUCAAUAGUGGCCAACAGUCACAGUCACAUUGUACAGGUAAGUAAGCGCUUUCUGUUCCUGUCUGUACAGUCACAGGCCACUGCUUUCCAAGCUAACAUGUUGCUUUAUCAAAGUUAGUUCUCAUGGCACUAUGAAAAAAGGCAGCCGGACUUGGUGGCACACGCCUUUAAUCCCAGCACUUGGGAGACCGAGGCAGGCGGAUUUCUGAGUUCGAGGCCAGCCUGGUCUACAAAAUGAGUUCCAGGACAGCCAGGGCUAUACAGAGAAACCCUGUCUCGAAAAAAAAAAAAAAGGCUUUAGGACAUAGAGGAAUAAAAGAGCGGACAACAUGGCUGCCCUAUUGCUAUGACAGCCACUGGAAGGCCAAUGUCAUAGCCCACCACUCCACUCCACCAGCUAGAAUGGCAGCUGUCCUCUUCUCCCGAGAGGAAGGUAGAGGAGAGACCAGGCACCCCUGAGUAGUCACAGAACACUGCCAGGCUGUUCCUGCUAACAUCUUUGCAUAUAGCCUUCAACAUAAAGAAAAAAAGUGUGUCUCAAUGAAAAAAGGAAGUAAAAAGAAAAAGUUGAAGUAUAAAGAAAUUAAGAUGACAAAGUGUCUAACAUCUCUAAAACCACCCUGUAGGUGCAAGGUAGGAUCAGGGACUCCUUUAGAUUCCCCUGGCUUCUCACCACUUCAUACCACGAGUCUAACAUGCUCAAGUGUUUGAGACCAAGAGCAUCUGUUCUCGAAGAACAAAGGCUUUUGGACUGGGGUUUCUAAUGUCCCAUAAAAUGAGCAGUGUCUCGGACAGAUAAAAGGUUUACAAUAAAGUGGAGAAACUGCUUUUGGUCAGACAGCACUCUGCUCACCCUCGGGCUUUGUCCUCUGGCUGUACUUUUCUUCAAAGAGCUGUGCUGGACACAGAGGCUUGUCAUGGAGGAGACGGCCUGCAGUGCUGGGACUCUUUUCAUCACAACAAAGGAUCUUCUUUUUAAACAUGUUCAGUUUCAAAAUUGCCUUUGGUCUUGGAUACAUUAUCAACUAAACAAAUAUUUAAAAUGAUUUUUACAAGCAAGCUCACUGGCUUUGUCUUAUAAGCUACCCAAAACAGACUAGGGUUCUGUCACAGACACUCAAAGACAGGAACCACUGACCACCAGUCUUCUUCAGCCUCCUGCCGGAGACCAGCCCAGGAUACCACCAGUGACCAUUUUAAUCAGGUGCAGAGCUGAGAUGAGGGCGGUGCAGGUUUAAGUGGACAUUCCAUCCCACACAAGUUAGUACCAUGAGGGGUCCCUGAGACCAUCCAACUAGGACUGCACAGGGCCUUUCUAGGAAGAGGAAAUCUACAGGAUGAGGCCAUUCAAAACUAGUCCAAGAGUUCCCAAAGUUUCUUGCUU
rnacentral:lncRNA from 1 species